UGUUUGGCUUUGCACCCAGACCCCGGGGCCCCAGAACAUAGGCUUGGUCUAAGAAACCACAGAAAUCCAUGGCCACCAGGGUCUUAACUCGGAACCCAGUGGUGAGCCUUGUGCUGGGUCUCCCACCGAGCUCUGCACAAGUGAAGCCCCAAGGAGACCCCGUGUCCCAGGAAGGAAGUGGGCAAGCGAGCCUGCUUCCUAACCAAAGAAGGAGUAAAAGUGCCGCUGCUUCUGGCACGGGCUCAGGGUGGCCCCGACCCUUGAACUUGUGUCCAGCAGCUUCUGUUUCCUUCCUUCCUUUGCUCUUGGCCCCUGCAGUGCUGGGAUUCGAACCCAGAGCCUGCUGCAUACUAGGCAAGCUCUCUCCACUGAGCCACAUCCCAGCCAGCCUGGCUGCUGAAGACCUUAUUAAAGAAGUCUUUGUUAUGCACUCCAUUUGCCAGGCACUGGACAGAACCCGUGGAGUCCGGACAGGUCCACACUCCAGGGAGCGGACGCUCACAACCCCUGAACUCUUGUGUCUCUUAGAACCCAGUACCGUGAGGGUGCACAGCGGGCCCCAACACGCCAUCGAAUGGUUGUGGCCGCAAACUGAACCCACGAAUCAUGCACGGCCCAUGCCAACAGGGAGCUGCGGAGCAGCCACCCUGAACCCUGGCUCCAGCUGCCUCUGACAGUGGCUCGCGGGCACGGACUCCGCAGCAAGCUCCUACCUUGGAAAACCGCAAUCAGCCCACCGAUCAAUAAAAACCUUCAAGUAAGGUGGCCAGGCAGUCGGGGCCCUGUCCUGGGGUCUUGAGUGUCCUUGGGCUGGGGGAGGAAGCGGCAGGGUCCCUGGCACUGAGCUGAG
rnacentral:tRNA from 1 species